AUUUAGCUGAUGGACGAGUCCCAAAUAGGACGAAAUGGCCAUCCUGACUAGAU
rnacentral:hammerhead_ribozyme from 1 species